rnacentral:rRNA from 1 species
CCUACGGGAGGCAGCAGUGAGGAAUAUUGGUCAAUGGACGAGAGUCUGAACCAACCAAGUAGCGUGAAGGAUGACUGCCCUAUGGGUUGUAAACUUCUUUUAUAUGGGAAUAAAAUGUUCCACGUGUGGGAUUUUGUAUGUACCAUAUGAAUAAGGAUCGGCUAACUCCGUGCCAGCAGCCGCGGUAAUACGGAGGAUCCGAGCGUUAUCCGGCUUUAUUGGGUUUAAAGGGAGCGUAGGUGGAUUGUUAAGUCAGUUGUGAAAGUUUGCGGCUCAACCGUAAAAUUGCAGUUGAAACUGGCAGUCUUGAGUACAGUAGAGGUGGGCGGAAUUCGUGGUGUAGCGGUGAAAUGCUUAGAUAUCACGAAGAACUCCGAUUGCGAAGGCAGUUCACUGGACUGCAACUGACACUGAGGCUCGAAAGUGUGGGUAUCAAACAGGAUUAGAUACCCCAGUAGUC